CUUAAGAUUUGCUUGGAAUGUUAUAUAUAUUUUUUACAUCACUUGAAAUGUUAUAUAUUUGAUAGAAUAUGACUUUUUAUACAGUAGAUUUUUAGUAUCUCUGUUUUAAUAGAGUAAGAUAUUCAUCAACUGUUUUAGGAUUAUUUUGAAACUCAUAUUGUGCAAAGAAUAUUUUCGGUUGACCAAGACAUUAAGAAAAUAAUUGGAUUAUUUUGUAAUUAUAUUGUCAAUGUACGUUGUAUAAAUAGAUGCUACAACCUAUGCAUCCAUAAUCAUCUCCAUUAAACAGAUUAGUAGGACAAUAUAAACAAAUUAAAUGGAGAAAAUCUCAGCAUUUCUUGUCAUCCUCUUCCUGGUCUCGUCAUGCAUGGUGAAAGUGACUGUGACAAUGCCUGCAAUAAAAUGUCAAACAGAUGAAGAUUGUUUGAAGAAAUAUGGAAGAUGUAAGGUCACAGGGGCUCUGCCCAUUUGCCCUCAUUACAACUGUAUCUGUUACCAUGAAAUGCGUACUCCUUCAUUGUCAACCUCCAACUCUUGAUGUUAUUCAUAUAUAUAUUCGCGUUGAUUUGAAUAAUGAAAAGGCUAUACAUAUAACUCUUUUGUUGUUA